rnacentral:rRNA from 1 species
GGUUAAGCGACUAAGCGUACACGGUGGAUGCCCUGGCAGUCAGAGGCGAUGAAGGACGUGCUAAUCUGCGAUAAGCGUCGGUAAGGUGAUAUGAACCGUUAUAACCGGCGAUUUCCGAAUGGGGAAACCCAGUGUGUUUCGACACACUAUCAUUAACUGAAUCCAUAGGUUAAUGAGGCGAACCGGGGGAACUGAAACAUCUAAGUACCCCGAGGAAAAGAAAUCAACCGAGAUUCCCCCAGUAGCGGCGAGCGAACGGGGAGCAGCCCAGAGCCUGAAUCAGUGUGUGUGUUAGUGGAAGCGUCUGGAAAGGCGCGCGAUACAGGGUGACAGCCCCGUACACAAAAAUGCACAUGCUGUGAGCUCGAUGAGUAGGGCGGGACACGUGGUAUCCUGUCUGAAUAUGGGGGGACCAUCCUCCAAGGCUAAAUACUCCUGACUGACCGAUAGUGAACCAGUACCGUGAGGGAAAGGCGAAAAGAACCCCGGCGAGGGGAGUGAAAAAGAACCUGAAACCGUGUACGUACAAGCAGUGGGAGCACGCUUAGGCGUGUGACUGCGUACCUUUUGUAUAAUGGGUCAGCGACUUAUAUUCUGUAGCAAGGUUAACCGAAUAGGGGAGCCGAAGGGAAACCGAGUCUUAACUGGGCGUUAAGUUGCAGGGUAUAGACCCGAAACCCGGUGAUCUAGCCAUGGGCAGGUUGAAGGUUGGGUAACACUAACUGGAGGACCGAACCGACUAAUGUUGAAAAAUUAGCGGAUGACUUGUGGCUGGGGGUGAAAGGCCAAUCAAACCGGGAGAUAGCUGGUUCUCCCCGAAAGCUAUUUAGGUAGCGCCUCGUGAAUUCAUCUCCGGGGGUAGAGCACUGUUUCGGCAAGGGGGUCAUCCCGACUUACCAACCCGAUGCAAACUGCGAAUACCGGAGAAUGUUAUCACGGGAGACACACGGCGGGUGCUAACGUCCGUCGUGAAGAGGGAAACAACCCAGACCGCCAGCUAAGGUCCCAAAGUCAUGGUUAAGUGGGAAACGAUGUGGGAAGGCCCAGACAGCCAGGAUGUUGGCUUAGAAGCAGCCAUCAUUUAAAGAAAGCGUAAUAGCUCACUGGUCGAGUCGGCCUGCGCGGAAGAUGUAACGGGGCUAAACCAUGCACCGAAGCUGCGGCAGCGACGCUGAUGCGUUGUUGGGUAGGGGAGCGUUCUGUAAGCCUGCGAAGGUGUGCUGUGAGGCAUGCUGGAGGUAUCAGAAGUGCGAAUGCUGACAUAAGUAACGAUAAAGCGGGUGAAAAGCCCGCUCGCCGGAAGACCAAGGGUUCCUGUCCAACGUUAAUCGGGGCAGGGUGAGUCGACCUCUAAGGCGAGGCCGAAAGGCGUAGUCGAUGGGAAACAGGUUAAUAUUCCUGUACUUGGUGUUACUGCGAAGGGGGGACGGAGAAGGCUAUGUUGGCCGGGCGACGGUUGUCCCGGUUUAAGCGUGUAGGCUGGUUUUCCAGGCAAAUCCGGAAAAUCAAGGCUGAGGCGUGAUGACGAGGCACUACGGUGCUGAAGCAACAAAUGCCCUGCUUCCAGGAAAAGCCUCUAAGCAUCAGGUAACAUCAAAUCGUACCCCAAACCGACACAGGUGGUCAGGUAGAGAAUACCAAGGCGCUUGAGAGAACUCGGGUGAAGGAACUAGGCAAAAUGGUGCCGUAACUUCGGGAGAAGGCACGCUGAUAUGUAGGUGAAGUCCCUUGCGGAUGGAGCUGAAAUCAGUCGAAGAUACCAGCUGGCUGCAACUGUUUAUUAAAAACACAGCACUGUGCAAACACGAAAGUGGACGUAUACGGUGUGACGCCUGCCCGGUGCCGGAAGGUUAAUUGAUGGGGUCAGCGCAAGCGAAGCUCUUGAUCGAAGCCCCGGUAAACGGCGGCCGUAACUAUAACGGUCCUAAGGUAGCGAAAUUCCUUGUCGGGUAAGUUCCGACCUGCACGAAUGGCGUAAUGAUGGCCAGGCUGUCUCCACCCGAGACUCAGUGAAAUUGAACUCGCUGUGAAGAUGCAGUGUACCCGCGGCAAGACGGAAAGACCCCGUGAACCUUUACUAUAGCUUGACACUGAACAUUGAGCCUUGAUGUGUAGGAUAGGUGGGAGGCUUAGAAGUGUGGACGCCAGUCUGCAUGGAGCCGACCUUGAAAUACCACCCUUUAAUGUUUGAUGUUCUAACGUUGACCCGUAAUCCGGGUUGCGGACAGUGUCUGGUGGGUAGUUUGACUGGGGCGGUCUCCUCCUAAAGAGUAACGGAGGAGCACGAAGGUUGGCUAAUCCUGGUCGGACAUCAGGAGGUUAGUGCAAUGGCAUAAGCCAGCUUGACUGCGAGCGUGACGGCGCGAGCAGGUGCGAAAGCAGGUCAUAGUGAUCCGGUGGUUCUGAAUGGAAGGGCCAUCGCUCAACGGAUAAAAGGUACUCCGGGGAUAACAGGCUGAUACCGCCCAAGAGUUCAUAUCGACGGCGGUGUUUGGCACCUCGAUGUCGGCUCAUCACAUCCUGGGGCUGAAGUAGGUCCCAAGGGUAUGGCUGUUCGCCAUUUAAAGUGGUACGCGAGCUGGGUUUAGAACGUCGUGAGACAGUUCGGUCCCUAUCUGCCGUGGGCGCUGGAGAACUGAGGGGGGCUGCUCCUAGUACGAGAGGACCGGAGUGGACGCAUCACUGGUGUUCGGGUUGUCAUGCCAAUGGCACUGCCCGGUAGCUAAAUGCGGAAGAGAUAAGUGCUGAAAGCAUCUAAGCACGAAACUUGCCCCGAGAUGAGUUCUCCCUGACCCUUUAAGGGUCCUGAAGGAACGUUGAAGACGACGACGUUGAUAGGCCGGGUGUGUAAGCGCAGCGAUGCGUUGAGCUAACCGGUACUAAUGAACCGUGAGGCUUAACCUU